rnacentral:rRNA from 1 species
CACCGGUGGCUCGAGUGGUGGCCACUUUUAUUGGGUCUAAAGCGUCCGUAGCCGGCUUGGCAAGUCCCCUGGGAAAUCUGGCGGCUUAACCGUCAGGCGUCCAGAGGAUACUGCCAGGCUUGGGACCGGGAGAGGUGAGAGGUACCUCAGGGGUAGGGGUGAAAUCUUGUGAUCCCUGAGGGACCACCAGUGGCGAAGGCGUCUCACUAGAGCGGGUCCGACGGUCAGGGACGAAAGCUGGGGGCACGAACCGG